rnacentral:rRNA from 1 species
UACAGAGGGUGCGAGCGUUAAUCGGAAUUACUGGGCGUAAAGCGUGCGCAGGCGGUUCGCUGUGUCCGAUGUGAAAGCCCCGGGCUUAACCUGGGAAUGGCAUUGGAAACUGGCGGGCUUGAGUGUGGCAGAGGGGGGUGGAAUUCCGCGUGUAGCAGUGAAAUGCGUAGAGAUGCGGAGGAACACCGAUGGCGAAGGCAGCCCCCUGGGCUAACACUGACGCUCAGGCACGAAAGCGUGGGGAGCAAACAGG